UCCAAAUUUAUUAUUAUAUAGAUUUUUAACUUUUGCUGAUAAGUAUACAAAAUACGAAUAUAGAAUGCUAUGUUAUAUAUUUAAAGUUUAUUUUCCAUUGAAAUGAAUUAUUGUAAAUAAUAUUAUAACUUAUCGUUUCAGAAACAUAUCAAAAAACUGAAAAGUGUCAUACAUCGAUUUAAUAAAAAUUAAUAGAAAUCAUAUGCUUAUUUUCACUUUAAUUUAAUUUGCAAUCUAGUCAGAAAAAUAAUUGUGUACAGGGUCGCCUGCAACCAUGAACCGAGUUAUAGUAAUAUUAUGGAACGACAUGAAUUUAUUUAGUAAUAGGUUCCUUAUCGGACUGGGAUUCAAUACCUUAAUAAUGAUAAUUUAAGGUGAGUGCAGAGAAAUCCAACAGUCAUUGAAAAGUAAAAUAACGAAGUACAAAAACAAUAUAUUUAUAGAACGACUGCAGAAUAUCAUUUGUAUCAAGUCAUAUUUCGUGACACAGAAGUUUUAAUUUUUGUAAUAAUAAUAAUGAGACCUCAUGACAAAAUGGAGAAUUGUCCACACCAAAUGCACAUUAUUACAAACAUUAUGAUAAAUAAUACUACCAUUAGUAAUUACAAGUACGGAAAAAGCUAUUCUGUUAAGAAAAACAUAAAUGUUCACAAUCUUCUCCGAAACUGGACUAAAUUCACUAUAAUUAGAAACUGAUACUUUUUAUCUUAAAAGUUUAAUUUAAACUUUAAACUUUAUAAAAAUAAUGGGAACCAAAUACAGACAAUGAAAACAAUACCAUAUAAUUUUUUAAGCAAAUCAAAAUACUAUAGGUAAAUUCUUAUAAUAAAUAAAACUAUUAUUAUUAUAUUACGUAAAA